UUUCCCUUGUGAAGAUGUCCUGCAAACAACGCAUUCCCUCUGACUGAACGUUAGAAUUUUGUGGUCUGUUGUACUUUUUAAUGAUUUUUAAACAUUGAUUUCGAUUUAAAAUGGAAGAUUGUUAUCUGGGCUUUGAUUUUAGCACUCAACAGCUGAAAGCUGUGGUUAUCAAUGAUAAACUCAAAGUAACACAUCAGGCAACUGUUAAAUAUGACAUUGAUCUUCCCGAGUUCAGAACUCAUGGAGGUGUACACAAGCAUGAUGAUGAGGUCACAGUAACAGCUCCUCCUAGUAUGUGGAUAAAAGCACUUGAUUUGAUUCUGGAUCUACUAAGACUUCAGGAUUUAGACUUUUCCACUGUUGUAGCUAUAUCAGGUGCUGCACAGCAACAUGGUUCGGUCUAUUGGAAACGUGGAGCUGAAGAAAUUCUUGAUGAUAUAGCUGGAAAUAAUUUUUUGUAUGAUCAAUUACAGGGAUGUUUUAGUGUGAGGGAUUCUCCUGUCUGGAUGGAUGAAAGUACUUCCCUUGAAUGUGCCCUUCUAGAAAGAGCUACUUCGGGGCCUUUACCUCUUGCUAGAGUGACAGGAUCUCGUGCAUUUGAGAGAUUUACGGGAAAUCAAAUUGCAAAGUUAUUCAGAAUGAAACCUGAUGCUUAUAAUAAUACCGAGAGAAUCUCCCUUGUUAGCAGUUUUGGGGCAACAUUAUUCCUAGGUCGUUAUGCACCUAUUGAUAUUAGUGAUGGCUCUGGUAUGAAUUUGUUAGAUAUCCAUUCCAAAGAUUGGUCAGAUUUUUGCCUAAAUAUGUGUGCCCCAAAUUUAAGAGAAAAGUUAGGGACACCUGUUCCUUCUUGUACUGUUUUAGGAACAAUAGCAACUUAUUAUUGUGAACGCUUUGGUUUCUCAGAUACCUGUAAGAUUGUGGCAUUUACAGGUGACAAUCCUGCUUCUCUUGCUGGUACUCAACUAAAUAAAGGGGAAAUGGCCAUUAGUUUGGGUACCAGUGAUACUUUGUUUCUGUGGCUUGCAAAUCCAAAACCUUCUUUAAAUGGUCAUAUUCUUUGCAAUCCGUUAGACAGUAAAGAGUAUAUGGCAUUAUUAUGUUUCAAGAAUGGAUCUCUUACUAGAGAAAGAAUUCGAGAUGAAUGUGCUGAAGGCUCAUGGCAGUUAUUCAAUGAUCUUCUUGAAAGCACUCCACGUGGGAACUUUGGUAACAUAGGAAUGUACUUUGAUUCAGCGGAAAUUGUUCCUCCUCAAGUGAAGGGAGAUUACAGAUUUAAUAAAAAUAAUGAGUUGAUCGAGCGUUUCUCAAAAGAAGUAGAAGUGAGAGCAUUAGUUGAAGGCCAGUUUCUUGCAAGGAGAGUUCAUGCAGAAGACUUUGGCUUUUCUAUACAUUCUGCUUCAAGAAUCAUUGCAACUGGUGGAGCUUCAACUAAUAAAUCUUUGAUUCAGGUUUUAGCUGAUGUAUUCAAUAUGCCAGUGUAUGUCUUAGAGUUUGCAAAUUCAGCAUGUUUGGGAGCUGCUCUGAGAGCAAAACAUGGACUUCUUGGAGACUUUCCUUUCCAAAAUAUGUUUGUUGAACCUUUGGGUUUACAUCUAAGUUGCAGUCCAGCAAAAGAUGCUGCACAGGUAUAUGGACCAAUGCUUACACGAUUCAGAAUGAUUCAAGGAAAGUUACAGAAAAGGCAUGCGCCAUUUGGUUUUGAUGAAAUUUAGAAUUUAUAACCAGAAUAUGUUCCUGAGUACCAUUGUGAAUAAUUUAGUGUUCCAUUGUGAAUGUACUAUUGUACUGUUCCAGUGUGAAUAAUUUAUCUUGUGUUACUUAAUAAAUGUGCAACUGUUUAAUAGAAGGGUGAAUGAUUCCUUACCUAAGCAGAUUUCUUAACUGUACUUUACAAGAAAAAAAAAAGUUCUGCACUGUGAUUUUCAAUGGAAAUUUAAUGCAUUGCAUCCUGCCAGUAGAUGAAAUUAUCCAUACAGUUAUUUCACUAAUUUGAAACAGUCUGCAUUAUCUGAAACUUUAGUAAUUUCAAGUUAAUGUAUGUGUUUUCUAACCCAUCACACUAUUCGUAAGUUUUAUAUGUUGGUCCUGUGCCUUCCAUAGUCUAAAUUAUAUUGGAUAUUCUUCUUCUUUUUCUUUCUUUUUUUUUAAAGCAGAUAUAAAUUAAAAGAUUCCAUUAAUAUUCAUCAUAUCUCAAUCUAAAUUUUUAGAUGAAAUUUCAAGCAUGAUGCCUAUGCCAAUAUGAUUUAUAGUUUGUUUCUUAAAAAUAUAAUUGAAUGCAAAGAUUGACUGUUUCUUCAUUGGUAUAUGUCUAUAUACAUUAUGUCCACAAAAGUUUACCGUUCUUUAUUUUGGCCGGCCAAACAACAAAUGUUUUGGGCAGUGCAAUUAAGUGCUAAUUGUUUAAUGUAUUUUAAAAUGCAAAUUUUAUGUUUAAAGUAAGUAACAUUUGUCAUAACACAACACAUAUCUAUGAUGUAGCCAUGAAAUUAUGAUAUCUGAAAGUGUUGAGGAAGUUAUGCUGUUAACAAUAUUUAAAAUUGUGGUAUUAGUCAUAGAUAUAAAUAUAUAUUAAAAAUAGGAGGAAUAUACACUAAGAUAUUGGAAUAUAUAUAAAUUUAUGAAAAAGAGCUUAUUUUCACUAUUGUAGCAUAUAUGCUAAAUGUGUGUUUUUAGAUGUAAAUUUUACCUGUAUAUUGUUUAUUUGAAUCAAAAUAUCAAUAAUUUUACUAGAGAAAACAAACAGAUAACUGUGUCAUUCCAUAUUUAUGAAUAUGUUUGUAAGUAAAAUUAUAUAAUAAUUAUAAUUGCUUUCAAAAUGUCUUUUUCUAUCAUUAAAAAGUUAUUAGUUCUUAUAUUGAAUUUUAUAUUUUUGAGGCAUUCGAAAUUUAAGGAAGUUUCUAUGUUAAACAAAAGCAUUCUAGAUGAGAUACAGACUUUGUUGUUGCCAGUAUAUUCAAAUUUUUGACUCUUGUGCAGGUUAUACCCAUAAAAAAUUCUUUUGAGGAAAAUUUAGUCUCUUUUCUGAAAUAGAGAUAGUCAAAUAUAUCACUCUAUCGAGAAAAAUUUUGAUGAGCAAAUGUUGUAUAUAAUAAAUUGAAUACAUUUGAUCCAACAUAAGGAUUUGCAAUAAUUAUUAUUUAUGCUAUUUUGUGCCAAAUUACUAACUCAAGUUCUUAAGAAUUAAUAGCAUCAAAGCAUCAAUGUUACAAGCAUGACAAUUUGAUAAACUCAAUUGAAGGGAGAAACAUUUAAAAAUAGUGGGAUAUAUAUCCACUAUUUAUAAUACAUAUACAUACACAUAUAUGAAAAUACAUUGCCAUGCCUUUGGAUCCACUAUUUCAUUAUCCAUGAAUGAUUGUGAUGUAGGGGAAAAGAUUUUUAAGAAUUGUAGACAUAUGGCAUUUAUACCAGAGAGAACUGGUUCUAAUAAAAUAAAAUCUUCCAGAUCAGACAUACCCAGCAGUGUCAUCACACAGUAAUCGUGACAAUAAUAAACAUUCAUAUGUGAUUCAGGCUGAUAUUGCAUUUCUUCCCUAGUGAUCAAGAAAACGUAAUUAGUUAUUUGCCUUAUCAUUCUUUGAAACUAUAUGCUAUGUUGUAAAGUAUAUUUCAUUACAUUUCUGACCUAAAUUCGUUCAAAUAUCAGAAUUUCUUACUUUCAUACAUGCUAAAAUAGAAAAUGCAUUGUUAAAAUUCAGUACUCAGUAUUUCUAUACUAUUGGUUAAUUUGAUGUUGAUAAUAUCUUAAUCUGCAUAAUUAAUUAAUUUAUCAUAUUCGUUCUCGCCAUUAGAAUUUUACGUUAUAUGUAGUAUUAGCUAUUUUACAUAAUUUUAUAGUCACGAUAGUUCUUCAAACAUAUUACAUGCAGGCACUUAGGCAUUGCUGUGAUAUUUUAUAGUUGUGAUACUAUUUUAUUAUAGUACAUAUACAGUAUCUACAGAAGUCCUUACGCAACUUUUAUUUUGCAACCAUUGGUCUCAUGGAUAUAUGCUUCAAUUAUAAAAAUAUUUUAAAUGCCGCAAAUAUUCACGUUUUCUCCAUUUUUUAAUUUUAGAAAACAAAUUGUUUAAAAGCUCCAAAAUCUUAGUUUUUUUAUACAGAUCCCAGUCCUAAUAUUUAUAGUGAGGAAAAUUUAUACUCCUUAUUAAAACAAUACGAAAAGUGUGACACCCAUCUAAAAAGAACUGACUGAAAUAGUUAAAUUUAAAGCUAGAUAUUAUAUUCAGGGGGUCACACAUAAACUGAAGAACAAAAUGUAACAUGUUAGUUAAGAAAAAAAUUUCCAUGGUUAUAGGUGUUGAGAAUUUUAAUGAAGAUUGUUGUGAAAAGCAUCGAUUGAUAUGAAUUUUUUAGAAAGGUGAUCAGACAAAAUUCCAUGUUGUAGAAAGCACUUGUAGAUUUAGGUAUUGGCAAAUAAUCAAAUCAUAAUGUAAUUUGCAUAAAUUGAAAUUAUUUCUAGUUUAAUCAUUUUUUGUGUAUUAGAUAUGAUUCUAAAAUAAUGAAACUUCACAAGAAUAUUAUAACAUAUUUUUAGCCUAUGAUAAAUUAUAAAUUACUUAUAUAAAAAUUCCUUUGGUAUUACCAGCUAUUGUAAAAUUAUAAAUUAAAGAAUGUAAUUAUUAGUAAGUCACAAAGGGAUGUCACUGAAGUUUAUUAAAUGGAAAUAAAAACAACCUUGUGUUAUCCUAAUCUAUUUUUUAAUUGACCCCUCAAGUAGGACGGUAACUUCGUUUUUCUGGUGCUGUAAAAUCCAUGAAAACUGCAAAAUUUGAAAUUAAAUACCCCGUCAACUUUUGUCACAUAGAAACCAAAGAUUUUCUGUUUUAUUUCUUAUAAUGACUACAAAAUUUCAUUAAAUAUAACUAUAGGGACCAUUAGAACAUAUAAAAAGAUGAAAUUUCAGAUUUUUUUUUUUUUUACAAAAUAUACUUCUUAAAUUAAAAUAUGUUGAAAUAAAAAGCUUUGUGUCAUUUUUAAACAAUAUUGUAAUUGGAAGUGUACAUCUAGCACCAAUGGUUGGAAAAAUAAUGGCCGUGUGAGGACUUUGUGGACAACAAUGUGCGUAUAUAUAUAUAUAUAUAUAUAUAGCUGUUUCAUAUAAUAUAUAAUGCAGUUGAAGCAGUAUUAACUGCAUAUAUAAUAUGAAAGAGCACUUUGACAUUUUUAUCAUGAAUUUUCUUAUAGAUGUGAUAAUCAUUUGUUUUCUUUUUAAUACCAUUGUUUUAUGGUGGGAAACCCUUAACAUAAAAUAACAAAUUUGAAAAAUACAUUUCUGUCGCAUGUUUCUCUCCAUUCUCAGCAAGUGUAACAGUUAAAUUUGCAACUGUAUUUUAAGUACUUAAGUAUUUUGCUUUUAUGCCAUAUGCAUUUUUAUCAUUUGUGACAUUGUUUAGUGUAAGUACUAAUUAGGAAACAUUAGUUCUGCAAUACAAUAAUAUUUAAGUACUCAACUGUAUUCAUUUUUCUUAUAUUUAAUGUUUAGAAAU
rnacentral:misc_RNA from 1 species